GGCUCAAUGGUCCAGUGGUAAGAUACUCGCUUCGGGUUAGAACUAUUCUAUAUUCUCUACCCAGUCUCUUGAACGAGACUUGAAAAUGUGAGUGGUCCCGGGUUCGAAUCCCGGUUGAGCCC